rnacentral:rRNA from 1 species
ACGAUGAGUGCUAGACGUCGGGUGUAUUAACACAUUCGGUGUCCCAGUUAACGCGCUAAGCACUCCGCCUGGGGAGUACGUCCGCAAGGCUAAAACUCAAAGGAAUUGACGGGGUCCCGCACAAGCGGUGGAGCAUGUGGUUUAAUUCGAUGCAACGCGAAGAACACUUACCUGGGUUGGAACCCCUUGGAAUCCUGCAGAGACGCAGGAGUGCCUUUUUUAAAGGAGCCGAGUGUUCAGUUGCUGCAUGGCUGUCGUCAGCUCGUGUCGUGAGAUUUUGGGUUAAGUCCCGCAACGAGCGCAACCCUUGUCGUUAGUUACUAACAGGUUAAGCUGAGGACUCUAGCGAGACUGCCGGUGGUAAACCGGAGAAAGCUGGGGAUGACGUCAAGUCUUCAUGGCCUUUAUGUCCAGGGCUACACACGGGCUACAAUGGCUGAUACAGAGGGUAGCGAUCCCGCCGAGGGUUACCAAAUCCUUUAAAGUCAGUCCUAGUUCGGAUUGCAGUCUGCAACUCGACUGCAUGAAGCUGGA